rnacentral:lncRNA from 1 species
AUGAUUUGUGCUGUGGAUGGUCCUCUGGCGAAUUUUGUUUUGCUUUGCUGCUGUUGUUGGUUUGGAGGAAGGGGUAGAGCAGGACAUACAGAAUGUGAAUUUGUAGCUUAUUUGUGGCAAGAAAAAGCACAUCAUGAAAAACUGUGGGAAGAGAGAAGAGAGAAAAUGAUGGCCAUAAGAUUGACCUUACCUACUGCCAAAAGUAAGUCUGUGGGAGAAAAGACCAGAGCAUGGUCUGCAGGGAAGAGACUUAACAGCAUGUAUGAUGUGAAGUGACAGUUUUUGAAACCUAUAGCCUCCGUAGAAGAAAAAAUCAAAAGAGAAAGAAGUGGCUCUUAGAAAUUAGGUGGUCAAAAAGAAGGUAGCAAAGGGAGAAAUUUUUGAGUAGUACAUGUAUCACAAAAGACAAACAAAAUACGAGGAAACAAACAAUCCCUUUUCCUCCUCUGCAGAAAUAACCCACUAAGGAAUCUGGACUUUGUUAUACUGAAUGAAGGUAGUGCCACCAAAGCAGGAAUCUUGUAAAUUUUCCCAGUACUACAAACAUAUGAAACUGCCCCAAUAGUCCCAUAGAUUGUUCUUUUGGAUAAACAUAGAAAUUCACCUUUCUGAUUUUAGAGCUUGAAGCUUGCAUUUGUUUUCUUUGAGGAAAGGACCUUCUGGCCUCUUUAAAAAAGCAUAAAACACUGAAUCUCACCAGAUCACCACAUCUUCACAAUGAGCUGACAGGCCCCUCAUUCAUCAUGAUUGCUUCCUAGCCCCUCCAAAGUUCUUGAACAUUGUUAUAUUUCUUUCUUGCUAUAUAAACUCCUAGUUUUAGUCAGUAAGGGAGAUGAAUCUGAGACUGAGCUCCCAUCUCAUGUAGCAACCAAUUAAAGCCUUCUUCCUUGGCAAUAUCUGUCAUCUCAGUGAUUGGCUUUCUGUGCAGUGAGCAGCAGGACCUAAAUCAAACCCUGUGUGUUUUGGUAAAAAAUGAAGUAAAUAAUAUAGAGUUAUGAAAAAUUACAAAAUG